rnacentral:lncRNA from 9 species
UUUUUUUUUUUUUUUUUUUGCCAAUCCUAUGGCAUGUGGAAGUUCCUGGGGCUGGGAUCGAACCUGCGCCACGACAGUAACCCAAGCCACUGCAGUGACAGUGCUGGAUGCUUAGCGUGCUGUGCCACAAGGAAACUCCUAGGACUUUUUAAAACCAAUUUUUUUUUUCUCUGCCUUGGUUUAUCCGAUUAUGAAAUAAGAUGAGAAAGUUCCUGGGGGCUCUUCAGAUCUAGGUAACCAUACAUCAAGUUACAUGGACAGUAGCCAGCAUUUGCUGAGUGUGGAUCACGUGUCAGGUGCUGUUUGAUGUGCUGCCUGUGGAUGAUUUUUUUAGUUCUCACAACUGUCCUAUGACGCUUUUAUCAUGCCCAUGUUUAGAUGAAGAGUCCACAGCACUUGCAAGUCAGGAGACCACUUCCCUGGUUUUCAGAGACUCUCCUAAUUAUGAUCAAAUAAGUUCUGCAAAGUCUGCAUAUUAUGCCGUACUGGGGAGUCACAAUGACAGUAUAAUACAGGCCCUGGAAAGUGUAGCAGUGGGGAAAAGAAGCAAAAUAUUCCUUCCUCCCUUAAUUUUGUUUAAUAAAAAAUUUCCUAAAAUAAUUUAAUCACACAGGGGCUCUUGACUGUGCCUUCUCUUGCAGAACAGUUAUUACUAAACCUAGGAGUAGUGUUCUUGGAACAGACUUGGAGAAUUAGCUGCUAAGCCCCAAGCUCUGGGAAAGGACAUGGGGCUGCGGUUGGGGACAGGAAUUCUUAAUUCGGAUGCUUUGAAAACUGAAGAAGCAGUGUGCUGGAUCCUUGGCAUAGCUCUUUGGGGAGAACUGUAGUUAAUUCAGCACAUAUGAGAAUCUAUCCAUAAAGUGAUAAUAGCUGAGAACUAGGAGAGAUUUUUCGAUUUAAUCCAGUAAACACUGAGCACUUCCUGUGUGCCCGAUGCUGUUCUAGAUGUUUGGGACACAGCAGUGAGUGAAACAGGCAUGUGUUCUCCCCUUACGGAGGAGAGACACAAUAAAAUAGCUGUGCUUGUGCUUAAAUAGGAGGUUUGACGUAAAUAAUAACAGCAGAGUCAUUGUAGAGGCAAAGAAGUGGGAUUUAGGUUCUAUGAGGUCUGUCACUGUAUGACCACCUGAGAAUUCAUUUAUGUUUUCCACUUAAAGCCAUAAAACAGAGUGUGAAGAACGGGGUGUCAGAGGUUUGUUUGGCAAGUAAAAAUUUUAGUUUAUAGAAGAGAUAUUUUUCGGCAUUUGAACAAUAUCUUUAAAAUAGAAAUGCACCUUUAGAAAGUUCUUAUUAUUUAAUUGUCACUGAACCGCCAUUUAUUCACUUCUGAGGCAAAAGUUAUAUAGGUUUAAGUUUUUCUUUUUUUCCACAAAAUACAUAAAUUUGAUGAAAAUUAUUAACCCAUCACUUUUAUUUCUUUUUCGUAAUGUAAUAUUUCGUUUAUUUUUUCUGUGUUUAUUGUUAAGUUUUAUUACUGGCAUUCUUAUGUAUAGGAAAAUCAAUUAAAGAAAAUGUUUACAUUUCUGAUUCUCCUCUGGCUAUUUUUAUUAUUAAUUUCCCAGUUAUUCUUAAAGCCACUUCUGUUGAAAGGGGAAGAGAGAAAAAAAUGGCCUGCUCCGAGUGUCAGACACGCUAGUUGCGUCACUGGACUUGAAGAAGAUUAAGAUUCCCCUUUGGAAGUUAGAUGUUUCUGCCCAGCUAAUUGCAUGUCUUGCGACAGGCCUAAUAACUUUUAACCAGCCGUCCUUGAUUGUAUGACGUCUGUAACACUGACCCUUUCCCCCCGCUAACAAGAGAGAAUUUUUGGAAUUGGUUUUCUCAGGAGCCUUUUUCCUCUGGGCAAGUUUGAAGUAAAAACAGGAACCCACGUUUAUAAUUACUGAGUCUGAGAAGUUGCUUUACCAUGUCUUUGAUAAGAACUGUUUUUAAACACCCAAACAGGAAGGGUGAGGGCGUGUGGCAGCCUCGGUGGGGUGUCUGUGGUGGCAGUUUAGAAUGCACUUUAGCCUCACUGAGCAGGUCACUUCAAGUAGCGACAUGGCAGACGUGGAGUUCACCGUGUGAAUAUCUGGGGGAACAGCAUUCCAGGGAGAGGGACUCGAAUGUGCAAAUGCCCUGAGGCAGAGAGUUUGAGAGAAAAGCAAGAGGUUGGUGCGGCUGACGUGGAGGGAGUGAGGGUUUGGUAGGGCUGCUGUGGGGACUGCAGAGGUCCGUCCUCUACUCGGUGUCAUGCCUCGUUUAAAAUCCCUUUAGGAGUUCCCGUCGUGGCGCAGUGGUUAACGAAUCCGACUAGGAACCGUGAGGUUGUGGGUUCGGUCCCUGCCCUUGCCCAGGGGGUUAACGAUCCGGCGUUGCCGUGAGCUGUGGUGUAGGUUGCAGACGCGGCUCGGAUCCCAUGUUGCCAUGGCUCUGGCCGGCCCAAGAAAUAGCAACAACAACAACAACAAAAGACAAAAAAAAAAAAAAAAAAAAAAUCCCCUUUAAAGCCUCCUCUUUUUGUCUUUCCCUCCUGAGAUUUUAAAUGAAUGUCUUCAUUUAAAAAUCCUAUAGCGUUUGGUUUUAGCUUUUUAUAUUCUGCUUUGUUUUAAAGCCUUGGCUUCUAGUCUUACCCACCUUCCUGAAUUUUUAGCUGUUUAAGGGCACAGCUGUAUUGAAU